rnacentral:rRNA from 1 species
GGGGGAUAAAUUAAUAAAGUAUAAAUAAUAAAAAAAUUUUUAAUAUUAAAAUAACUUAAUGGGGGUUAAAGUAUAUUUAAUAGAAAAAAUAAUAAAAAUUUAUAGAAAAUUAGUAUUGUAAAAGAAAUUUGAAAUAUAUUGAAAAUAAAUUUAUUUAAAAGUAAAUUUAAUUUAUUGUAUCUUGUGUAUCAGAGUUUAUUAAUAAUAUUUUUUAUUUAAAAAUUUUCUCGAAUUUAGAAGAGAUAAUUAGUUAUUAAAGUUAAUGUUGUAUAAUUAUUUUAAAUAAUUAAUUUGAAAUGAUAUGUUAAUCGUUUUUAAAUAUAUCUAGUUUUUUUAGAAAAAAAUUUAAUUUUAAAUUUUAAAAAGUAAAAUUUUAAUUAAUUAAAAUUUUACUUUUAAAAUUAAAUAUUUUAAGGGAUAAGCUUUAAAAUAAAUUUUUAUAAUAAUUUUUAAUUAUAAUUAAAAUUUUUAAAAUUUAUAUUGUUUAUAAAUUAUAGUUUUUUAUAAAUAAUUUUAAUUAAUUUAAAAUUUAAAAUUUAUUUAAUUUUAUAUAAAAAAAUAAUUUAAAAUAAUUUAGAUUUAGAUAAAAUGAUAAAAUUAGUAUAUAAUUAAAUUAAAAUAAUUUAUUUUUUGUUAAUUUAAUAAAAGGAAUUCGGCAAAAAUUUAUAUUCACUUGUUUAUCAAAAACAUGUCUUUUUGAAUUAAUAAUUUAAAGUCUAAUCUGCCCACUGAUAAUAAAUUAAAGGGCUGCAGUAUUUUGACUGUACAAAGGUAGCAUAAUCAUUAGUCUCUUAAUUGGUGACUUGUAUGAAAGAUUUGAUGAAAUAUGAACUGUCUCUUUAUAAUUUUUAGAAUUUAAUUUUUUAGUUAAAAAGCUAAAAUAUAUUUAAAAGACGAGAAGACCCUAUAGAGUUUAAUAUUUAAUUUAUAUAAAAAAUUUUUUAUAAAAUUUAUAAUUUUAAUAUAAUUAAAUAUUUUGUUGGGGUGACAAAAAAAUUAAAAUAACUUUUUUUAUAAUUUUACAUUAAUAAAUGAAUAAAUGAUCCGUAAUUUACGAUUAUAAGAAAAAAUUACCUUAGGGAUAACAGCGUAAUUUUUUUUUUUAGUUCAAAUAAGAAAAAAAGUUUGCGACCUCGAUGUUGGAUUAAGAUAAAAUUUAAAUGCAAAAGUUUAAAAUUUUUGAUCUGUUCGAUCAUUAAAAUCUUACAUGAUCUGAGUUCAAACCGGUGUAAGCCAGGUUGGUUUCUAUCUUUAAAUUAAUAAAAUAUUUUA